AAUCUGCCCUCAGGAGGGGGACAACAGCUGGAAACGGCUGCUAAUACCCCAUAUGCCGCGAGGUGAAAUGAAUUUCGCCUGAGGAUGAGCUCGCGUCUGAUUAGCUUGUUGGUGUAGGUAAUGGCUCACCAAGGCAUCGAUCAGUAGCUGGUCUGAGAGGAUGAUCAGCCACACUGGGACUGAGACACGGCCCAGACUCCUACGGGAGGCAGCAGUGGGGAAUUUUCCGCAAUGGGCGAAAGCCUGACGGAGCAACGCCGCGUGAGGGAUGAAGGCCUCUGGGCUGUAAACCUCUUUUAUCAAGGAAGAAGAUCUGACGGUACUUGAUGAAUAAGCCACGGCUAAUUCCGUGCCAGCAGCCGCGGUAAUACGGGAGUGGCAAGCGU
rnacentral:rRNA from 1 species